rnacentral:rRNA from 1 species
CCCUAUGGGGCGCCAAUACGGGGGGCUUUGAGGCAGAUUCCGGAUGGAUCUGGCUCGGGGGUGUUGUCGAGUCAAACAUUUACUUUUCCAAGAUGAAUGUUCCCGUCGCCAUUUCCAUUCCGGCUAAGAUGGUGAUGGAAUGCCAGAAGGGGGAAAUCUAUGCCGGAAACAUGGCCUCCUGCCGGGCCUGGAUCGAGAGCCAGGACGAUCCGAACGUAGCGGAACUAUGGUCCAAUUACGGUUAUACCCUGGGGGUGAAAUUCAGGGAUAUCUUCACCGAAACGGAGUUGGCCGACGUGGGCAAGGAGUUCGCCCUGAAGAUCAGCAAGCACGGUGCCAUGCCCCUGGGCAGCAAUCUCAUCUGCGGCAUUGAUUAUCUUGAAUAUGCCUCUUUCCCCGUCAGCGAGUUUAUUCCCGAUACGAAAACGAUCCAGAAGGUGGCCAAGAAGAUCGUCGGCGCUGCCGACAUCGGCACGGUGCGCCUGGCGGGAGAGC